UACGUAGGGCGCAAGCGUUGUCCGGAAUUAUUGGGCGUAAAGAGCUCGUAGGCGGUUUGUUGCGUCGGCUGUGAAAUCCCGAGGCUCAACCUCGGGUCUGCAGUCGAUACGAGCAAACUAGAGUGUUGCAGGGGGAGACUGGAAUUCCUGGUGUAGCGGUGAAAUGCGCAGAUAUCAGGAGGAACACCGGUGGCGAAGGCGGGUCUCUGGGCAACAACUGACGCUGGAGGAGCGAAAAGCGUGGGGGAGCGAACAGG
rnacentral:rRNA from 1 species